UCCAGAUCAGCCAUGACCUCUCAGAUUCGUCAGAAUUAUUCCACCGAAGUGGAAGCUGCCGUGAACCGCCUGUUCAACUUGCACCUGCAGGCCUCCUACACCUACCUCUCUCUGGGCUUCUUCUUCAAUCAGGAUGACAUAGCUUUGGAGGGCUUAGGCCACUUAUUCCGUGAAUUGGCUGAGGAGACAUGCGAGGGCGCCGAGUGUCUCCUCAAGUUGCAGAACAAUCACAGGCCGUGUACUCUUCCAGCAUGUGCAGAAGCCAUCUCAGGAUGAAUUGGGUAAAACCCAGGAGGCCAUGGAAGCUGCCUUGGCCCUGGAGAAGAACCUGAUCCAGGCCCUCUUGGAUCUGCAUGCCCUGGGAUCUGCCCGUACAGACCCUCAUCUCUGUGACUUCCUGGAAAGCCACUUCCUGGAUAAGGAGGUGAAGCUCAUCAAGAAGAUGGGCAACCACCUGACCAACCUCCGUAGGCUGGCAGGGCCAUAACCAGCAGAGACUGGCAUGCCCCAGGCAUCUCUGGGAGAGUAUAUCUUUGAGCGCCUCACUGUCAUGCACGACUAGGAGGCCUCUGUGCCU